UCUCCUCCGGCCCCCCCCUCCCCGGCGAAGGGGAAAUGAGUGUAAAGGGAGGAGAUAGGGGCAAAAAGAGGCGUCGUCGUUCCUCCUCCUUAAAGGAACCUUCCCUCCUCAGCCCCAGCGCCGCCGCCGCCGCUGCUGCUGCUCCGUGGCAAAAGGAGCCAUUGACACCGCCGGAGCCUCCACUCUAGCCGAGUCGGUCCCUCCCCGCCGUGGGGCUGGCCGGGGGGCGCGGGGGAGGGCCGCGGGGGAGGGGCGGGGGCGGGGAACAGAGGGGGCGUGGAUUCCAGCCGGGCUUGGCCAAUGGGAAGCGUUCGUACAGUCUCGGAGCCAAUGGAGCCUCCUCUUAUCGUGAAGCCCCUGCCCCCGACGCCCUGUUUCCUCUCUCGGGCUUCCUCCUUCCCCGGCGGAGGAGGAGGAGGAAAGAGGAAAGGGGGAGUGUGGCUGGGCGGGUGAUAAUGGGGAGGUAUCGGGGCAUAUAAUGGAGCCGGGGGUAGGCGAAGGAGCGGCAGUACGUAGCGAAGAUUCUAGGAGAGGAGGUGCUCGGAAGAAAGGGCGGGGGCUGCUGAUGUAAUUGGGAGAAGUGAUUAAUCCUGCCUUUUGCCGUUUCAGCCUCCCUCCACCCCAACCUUCACCUGGUUUUCUUAAACGGAACAAGGAGUGAAGGACUCAAUCUUUGGUAACUCCGGAUUUCUGUGCUCGUGCUGGAAUCAAAGGUUGUGCCGCCACCACCACCACCACCACUACCACCACCCGACUCUACACAUUUUCAACAUUAUUUCUUCCUAUGAAGUUUAACAGUUGGCUUCUGCAAAGAUUGUUUAUUCUCUGGAGCUGAAUCUCACUAAAUAGCCCUUGCCGACUUAGAACUUGCUAUAGAAACCAAGCUAGCCUACACCGUGCCUUCUGAGGGCGGAUAGUAACUGAAGCCCAGCAACAGCAAAAACUUGUGAGUCGUCUCGCCAGCAAGAAGACACGCGGACACUAGGAUCCUUCUGCAG